GAUGAACGCUGGCGGCGUGCCUAAUACAUGCAAGUCGAGCGAACAGACGAGGAGCUUGCUCCUCUGACGUUAGCGGCGGACGGGUGAGUAACACGUGGAUAACCUACCUAUAAGACGGGGAUAACUUCGGGAAACCGGAGCUAAUACCGGAUAAUAUAUUGAACCGCAGGGUUCAAUAGUGAAAGACGGUUUUGCUGUCACUUAUAGAUGGAUCCGCGCCGCAUUAUCUAGUUGGUAAGGUAACGGCCUGCCAAGGCGACGAUGCGUAGCCGACCUGAGAGGAUGAGCAGCCACACUGGAACUGAGACACGGUCCAGACUCCUACGGGAGGCAGCAGUGGGGAAUAUUGGACAAUGGGCGCAAGCCUGAUCCAGCCAUACCGCGUGGGUGAAGAAGGCCUUCGGGUUGUAAAGCCCUUUUGUUGGGAAAGAAAAGCAGCAGGUUAAUACCCCGCUGUUCUGACGGUACCCAAAGAAUAAGCACCGGCUAACUUCGUG
rnacentral:rRNA from 1 species